AUGAUCUCACAGGCUCAGCUCCUCUGGCUGUUAGUGCUCUGGGUCACAGACUCCAGUGGGCAGACUGUGAUGACUCAGACUCCAGAAUCCCUGGCAGUGUCUCCUGGAGACACAGUCACUAUCCGAUGCAAAGCCAGCUCCAGCAUCAACUAUGGUAGCACUCCCUACCAAGCCUGGUACCAACAGAAAUCAGGACAAGCGCCAAAGCUCCUUAUCUAUGAUGCUUCCAGCCGUCCCUCUGGGAUCCCAGACCGGUUCACAGGCAGUGGGUCUGGCACCGAUUUCACUCUCACAAUCAGAAAUGUUCAAAUGGAAGAUGCUGUAGAUUAUUAUUGUCAACAAGGGUUUUCACCUUAA